GGCUCAGGACGAACGCUGGCGGCGUGCUUAACACAUGCAAGUCGAACGAUGAAACCCUUCGGGGUGGAUUAGUGGCGAACGGGUGAGUAACACGUGGGCAAUCUGCCCUUCACUCUGGGACAAGCCCUGGAAACGGGGUCUAAUACCGGAUAACACCGGCUUCCGCAUGGGAGCUGGUUGAAAGCUCCGGCGGUGAAGGAUGAGCCCGCGGCCUAUCAGCUUGUUGGUGGGGUAAUGGCCUACCAAGGCGACGACGGGUAGCCGGCCUGAGAGGGCGACCGGCCACACUGGGACUGAGACACGGCCCAGACUCCUACGGGAGGCAGCAGUGGGGAAUAUUGCACAAUGGGCGAAAGCCUGAUGCAGCGACGCCGCGUGAGGGAUGACGGCCUUCGGGUUGUAAACCUCUUUCAGCA
rnacentral:rRNA from 1 species